GACCCGUUAGUCGAGCGGUUAAGACAUCGCCCUUUCAAGGCGGUAGCAUGGGUUCGAAUCCCGUACGGGUCA
rnacentral:tRNA from 1 species